rnacentral:rRNA from 1 species
UGGGGAAUAUUGCACAAUGGGCGCAAGCCUGAUGCAGCCAUGCCGCGUGUGUGAAGAAGGCCUUCGGGUUGUAAAGCACUUUCAGCGAGGAGGAAGGUGGUGAGCUUAAUACGCUCAUCAAUUGACGUUACUCGCAGAAGAAGCACCGGCUAACUCCGUGCCAGCAGCCGCGGUAAUACGGAGGGUGCAAGCGUUAAUCGGAAUUACUGGGCGUAAAGCGCACGCAGGCGGUUUGUUAAGUCAGAUGUGAAAUCCCCGGGCUCAACCUGGGAACUGCAUUUGAAACUGGCAGGCUAGAGUCUCGUAGAGGGGGGUAGAAUUCCAGGUGUAGCGGUGAAAUGCGUAGAGAUCUGGAGGAAUACCGGUGGCGAAGGCGGCCCCCUGGACGAAGACUGACGCUCAGGUGCGAAAGCGUGGGGCAGCAAACAGGAUUAGAUACCCUGGUAGUCCACGCUGUAAACGAUGUCGAUUUUGGAGGUUGUGCCCUUGAGGCGUGGCUUCCGGAGCUAACGCGUUAAAGUCGACCGCCUGGGGAGUACGG